rnacentral:rRNA from 1 species
GGCUGAAAACGUUCCGGAUGACUUGUGGAUAGGGGUGAAAGGCCAAUCAAACUCGGUGAUAGCUGGUUCUCCCCGAAAUAUAUUGAGGUAUAGCCUCGGGAAUUGUCUAACGGAGGUAGAGCACUGACAGGGCUAGGGGUCUCACCGGAUUACCAAACCCUAUCAAACUCCGAAUGCCGUAUAGAUGUAUCCCGGGAGUCAGACUGCGGGUGCGAAGAUUCGUAGUCGAGAGGGAAAGAGCCCGGAUCGACAGCUAAGGCCUCCAAAUCCAUACUCAGUGUGAAAGGUGGUAGAGUUACACAGACAGCCGGGAAGUUGGCUUAGAAGCAGCCAUCUUUUAAAGAAAGCGUAAUAGCUCACCGGUCUAGUGACUCCGCGCCGAAGAUGUAACGGGGCUAAGUAUGGUGCCGAAGCUUCGGGAUGCACAUCGUGCAUCGGUAGGGGAGCGUUCUCAUUGGGAUGAAGCUCUGUUGUAAAGCAGUGUGGACUUUUGAGAAGUGAUUAUGCUGACAUAAGUAACGAUAAAACGGGUGAAAAACCCGUUCGCCGUAAACCCAAGGAUUCCCGGGUCAAGGUAAUCUUCCCGGGGUUAGUCGGCCCCUAAGGCGAGGCGUAAACGCGUAGCUGAUGGGAAACGGAUUAAUAUUUCCGUACUUGCGCAGGUGUGCAGGGAGGGACGCGGAAGGAUAGGCCGGCUCACUGUUGGAUGUGAGUGAAAGCCCGUAGGCCGAAGGGACUAAUCCUCCCUUCUUAAGGCCGAGAGGCGACGCGAGGCGAGAAGUCGCCAAAGCGGUCGAUUCCAUGCCGCCUAGAAAAGCUCCUAUGAUUAGCCUGCGUGAACCGUACCGCAAACCAACACAGGUGGGUAGGUAGAAUAUACCAAGGCGCUCGAGAGAACUCUGGUUAAGGAACUCGGCAAAAUAACCCCGUAACUUCGGGAGAAGGGGUGCUCUUUAUGGUGAGAUAUUCACUAUGUAAGCCGUGAAGAGCCGCAGAGAAACGGCGGUGGCGACUGUUUACUAAAAACAUAGGUCUCUGCAAAGUCGUAAGACGAAGUAUAGGGACUGACGCCUGCCCGGUGCCGGAAGGUUAAGAGGAGAGGUCAGCGCAAGCGAAGCUUUGAAUCGAAGCCCCGGUAAUCCUAAGGUAGCGAAAUUCCUUGUCGGGUAAGUUCCGACCUGCACGAAUGGCGUAACGAUCUCCGCACUGUCUCAACCAGAGACUCGGUGAAAUUGAAAUGGCGGUGAAAAUGCCGUCUACCCGCAGCGUGACGGAAAGACCCUGUGCACCUUUACUAUAGCUUGACAUUGGGUUUUGGGCUAACAUGUGUAGGAUAGGUGGGAGACAGUGAACUCUGUACGCCAGUAUGGAAGGAGUCACCCUUGAAAUACCACCCUUGUUAGUCUAAGACUCUAAUCCCAACCCUGUAAGCCAGGUGGGAAACAGUGUCUGGCGGGUAGUUUGACUGGGGCGGUCGCCUCCCAAAUAAUAACGGAGGCACGCAAAGGUUCCCUCAGCCUGAUUGGAAACCAGGCGCCGAGUGCAAACGCAUAAGGGAGCUUGACUGCAAGAGUGACAGCUCGAGCA